rnacentral:rRNA from 1 species
CUCAGUUCGGACUGUAGGCUGCAACUCGCCUACACGAAGUCGGAAUCGCUAGUAAUCGCGGAUCAGCAUGCCGCGGUGAAUACGUUCCCGGGCCUUGUACACACCGCCCGUCACACCAUGGGAGUUUGUAACGCCCAAAGUCGGUGGCCUAACCUUUAUGGAGGGAGCCGCCUAAGGCGGGACAGAUGGACUGGGGUGAAGUCGUAACAAGGUAGC